rnacentral:rRNA from 1 species
AUUGAACGCUGGCGGCAGGCCUAACACAUGCAAGUCGAGCGGAGCGGCGGACGGGUGAGUAAUGCCUAGGAAUCUGCCUGGUAGUGUGGGAUCACGUCCGGAAACGGGCGCUCAUCCCGCAUAUUAUCAGUUGAGCCUCGGUCGUAUUAGCUAGUUGGUGGGGUAAAGGCCUACCAAGGUGACGAUCCUUAACUGGUCUGAGAGGUGGAUCUGUCACACGGGAACUGAGACACGGUCCAGACUCCUACGGGAGGCAGCAGGUGGGAAUAUUGGACAAUGGGCGAAAGCCUGAUCCAGCCAUGCCGCGUGUGUGAAGAAGGUUUUCGGAUUGUAAAGCACUUUAAGUUGGGAGGCGGUACCAACAGAAUAAGCACCGGCUAACUACGUGCCAGCAGCCGCGGUAAUUC